GACGAACGCUGGCGGCGUGCUUAACACAUGCAAGUCGAACGGAAAGGCCCUGCUUGCAGGGUACUCGAGUGGCGAACGGGUGAGUAACACGUGGGUGAUCUGCCCUGCACUUCGGGAUAAGCCUGUGAAACUGGGUCUAAUACCGGAUAGGAGCCAUUUUUAGUGUGAUGGUUGGAAAGUUUUUUCGGUGUAGGAUGAGCUCGCGGCCUAUCAGCUUGUUGGUGGGGUAAUGGCCUACCAAGGCGGCGACGGGUAGCCGGCCUGAGAGGGUGGACGGCCACAUUGGGACUGGGAUACGGCCCAGACUCCUACGGGAGGCAGCAGUGGGGAGUAUUGCACAAUGGGCGCAAGCCUGAUGCAGCGACGCCGCGUGGGGGAUGACGGCCUUCGGGUUGUAAACUCCUUUCGCUAGGGACGAAGCUUUUUGUGACGGUACCUAGAUAAGAAGCACCGGCUAACUACGUG
rnacentral:rRNA from 1 species